GGGUGCGAUCAUACCAGCACUAAUGCACCGGAUCCCAUCAGAACUCCGCAGUUAAGUGUGCUUGGGCGAGAGUAGUACUACGAUGGGGGACCUCCUGGGAAGUCCUCGUGUUGCGCCCC
rfam:Arabis alpina cultivar Pajares scaff_43500_1_contig_1, whole genome shotgun sequence.